rnacentral:rRNA from 1 species
UACGUAGGAGGCAAGCGUUGUCCGGAAUUACUGGGCGUAAAGGGCGCGUAGGCGGCCCUUCUUGUCGCGUGUGAAAGCCCCGGGCUCAACCUGGGAACGGCGCGCGAAACGGGAGGGCUGGAGUUCGGGAGAGGAGAGUGGAAUUCCCAGUGUAGAGGUGAAAUUCGUAGAUAUUGGGAAGAACACCGGUGGCGAAGGCGGCUCUCUGGACCGAGACUGACGCUGAGGCGCGAAAGCGUGGGGAGCAAACAGG